rnacentral:rRNA from 1 species
UAUGGCGACCGGCGCACGGGUGAGUAACACGUAUCCAACCUGCCGAUGACUCGGGGAUAGCCUUUCGAAAGAAAGAUUAAUACCCGAUGGCAUAGUUCUUCCGCAUGGUGGAACUAUUAAAGAAUUUCGGUCAUCGAUGGGGAUGCGUUCCAUUAGGUUGUUGGCGGGAUAACGGCCCACCAAGCCUUCGAUGGAUAGGGGUUCUGAGAGGAAGGUCCCCCACAUUGGAACUGAGACACGGUCCAAACUCCUACGGGAGGCAGCAUG